rnacentral:rRNA from 1 species
CAAUAGCGUAUAUUAAAGUUGUUGCGGUUAAAAAGCUCGUAGUUGGUUGGCCUGGGCAUCUUCUUGGAGAACGUAGCUGCACUUGACUGUGUGGUGCGGUGUCCAGGACUUUUACUUUGAGGAAAUUAGAGUGUUUCAAGCAGGCACACGCCUUGAAUACAUUAGCAUGGAAUAAUAAGAUAGGACCUCGGUUCUAUUUUGUUGGUUUCUAGAGCUGAGGUAAUGAUUAAUAGGGAUAGUUGGGGGCAUUCGUAUUUAACUGUCAGAGGUGAAAUUCUUGGAUUUAUGAAAGACGAACUUCUGCGAAAGCAUUUGCCAAGGAUGUUUUCAUUGA